CCUACGGGAGGCAGCAGUGGGGAAUAUUGGACAAUGGGGGAAACCCUGAUCCAGCGACGCCGCGUGAGUGAAGCAGUAUUUCGGUACGUAAAGCUCUAUCAGCAGGUAAGCAAAUGACGGUACCUGACUAAGAAGCCCCGGCUAACUACGUGCCAGCAGCCGCGGUAAUACGUAGGGGGCACGCGUUAUCCGGAUUUACUGUGUUUAAAGGGAGCGUAGACGGCAGCGCAAGUCUGGAGGGAAAUGCCGGGGCCCAACCCCGGAACUGCGCUGGAAACUGGGAAGCUGGAGUGCAGGAGAGGGAAGCGGAAUUGCUGGUGGAGCGGUGAAAGGCGUAGAUAUCAGGAGGAACACCGGCGGCGAAGGCGGCUUACUGGACUGUAACUGACGUUGAGGCUCGAAGGCGUGGGGAGCAAACAGGAUUAGAUACACUAGUAGUC
rnacentral:rRNA from 1 species